rnacentral:tRNA from 1 species
ACCUGGCUGGCUCAGUAGGUAGAGUGUGCAACUCUAGAUUUUGGGGCUGUGAGUUCGAGCCCCACGUUGGGUG